rnacentral:lncRNA from 1 species
AAAGGACAUUAAUACGAUUAAUAUUUUCAUGUCUCAUAAUGCCAAAGAAAAUAAAUAAUUUUAGCCAAGCUGUAUUGUACAUAAAAACAAAACAAAAUAAUAAGCUUAUUAUGGUGACAAAAAAAUCUUUUUUUUUUUGAACACAGUGGCAAAAAAAUCUUAACAUGUCGUAUUUCGGGUGGGGUUUAUACUUUACGGACUUGUAGUUGUAGUUAGGUGAACAAGAAACACGUGGGAAUAAAAAGGGUCGAAAUACCAAUUUUGAAAAUACAUACUGCUUAUAAUACAUUUACAUACUCUUGUAGUUUUUUUGACGAAAAUACAUUU